CAGUAGCCGCGGUAAUACGGAGGGUGCAAGCGUUAAUCGGAAUUACUGGGCGUAAAGCGCACGCAGGCGGUCUGUCAAGUCAGAUGUGAAAUCCCCGGGCUUAACCUGGGAACUGCAUUUGAAACUGGCAGGCUAGAGUCUUGUAGAGGGGGGUAGAAUUCCAGGUGUAGCGGUGAAAUGCGUAGAGAUCUGGAGGAAUACCGGUGGCGAAGGCGGCCCCCUGGACAAAGACUGACGCUCAGGUGCGAAAGCGUGGGGAGCAAACAGGAUUAGAGACCCCGGUAGUCCCUGUCUCUUAUAC
rnacentral:rRNA from 1 species